UUAAAUUGAAGAGUUUGAUCAUGGCUCAGAUUGAACGCUGGCGGCAGGCCUAACACAUGCAAGUCGAACGGUAGCACAGAGAGCUUGCUCUCGGGUGACGAGUGGCGGACGGGUGAGUAAUGUCUGGGAAACUGCCUGAUGGAGGGGGAUAACUACUGGAAACGGUAGCUAAUACCGCAUAACGUCGCAAGACCAAAGAGGGGGACCUU
rnacentral:rRNA from 1 species